UUUCCGUAGGUGAACCUGCGGAAGGAUCAUUAUUGUAUAACCGAGGUGCGAGGGCUGUCGCUGACCCGAAAGGUCGUGCACGCCCGAGUGCUCUCACACACAUCCACCUCACCCCUAUGUGCACCACCGCGUGGGUCCCCCUUUGGCUUGUUCGGAGGGGUGCUUACGUUUUCAUACAAACUUUGUAUGCAGUGUAGAAUGUAUUUUUUGUUUUUGCGAUCACGCAAUCAAUACAACUUUCAACAACGGAUCUCUUGGCUCUC
rnacentral:misc_RNA from 1 species